rnacentral:rRNA from 1 species
GUCCACGCCGUAAACGUUGGGCACUAGGUGUGGGGAUCUAUCGACGGUUUCCGUGCCGAAGCUAACGCAUUAAGUGCCCCGCCUGGGGAGUACGGCCGCAAGGCUAAAACUCAAAGGAAUUGACGGGGGCCCGCACAAGCGGCGGAGCAUGUGGCUUAAUUCGAUGCAACGCGAAGAACCUUACCAAGGCUUGACAUGCUGGGUAAUCCGUAGAAAUACGGUGAUCCUUCGGGAUCCAGCGCAGGUGGUGCAUGGCUGUCGU